rnacentral:lncRNA from 10 species
ACAGAGUCUUGCUCUGUUGCCAGAUUGGAGUGAAGUGGCGCGAUCUCAGCUCACUGCACCCUCUGACUCCCUGAUUCAAGUGAUGCUCCUGCCUCAGACUCCCAAGUAUUUCCUAUAUCUUCCUGUCUUUUCCAUGGCCAAAAAUGAUCAAGUAAAGAACAUUAAAGAAGAAAUAAAUUACUACAUAUUAAAAAAUACAUACUGUGUCCUUCUGAACAGACCUUCACAUGGAUGAUAUUUGCUCCGGGAGAAUGCAGCAUGAACACACAGAUUUGGUCACAGUAACGAAUGCUCCUUUGAAGACCAGCUGAGGAGGCCGGAGAGUGCUAAACUCAGAAAGGCAAAACAAGGUUAGAAUGAAGCCCAUGCAAAGAAAAUAUGGACCUGAAGAAAAACAAGCUAUGGACUAUCUUCUGUCUCAUGCUAGCAGUGGAAUAGGAAAAGGACUCAAAAGACUUCUACUGGCCAUAAUGAAGUACCUGUUACUAUAUUUGCUUUCCUACCAUAAGCAACUAUAAAACUGGACAAUAUAUAGGCAACUGAUCUCAUGCAUUUCAAGCAGCACAGGAUUCUGAUAAUUAACAGAAGGAAAGCACAUGAGGAUAAUACUGGAGGCUGCCAUGGGAGAAGUCUGCACAAAAAGAGCAAGUUUAAGAGCUUCAGGAGUCAUAAAUGGCUUGAGAAGAUUAUGCUAGAGAUUGAAGCAGAUGGAAGAUUCUAGAAACAGAAAGCAUUCUUUUCAUUGGUGUGAGUCUUGAAUAUAAAUGGAAAUCAGAGGUCUGUAAUAGCAGGCCAGUGUGGAUAAGGCAGUAAGGUUUUGAGUCUGAGGAGAUGGCUGGGGGCAGUUUGUAGACUUAUUGUCAGUCCAGUGUAGAAUUUGAGAAUAUAGCCAGGGCUUAAGGUUCCAGUUUCAAAUUAAAGACAAAAGAAAUCAGCAAUACCAAAAUGAAGACAGAAGCCUGGGAAUUGUGCCUCAAGAUCUGGACUGAGAGGACAUUUCUACACAACAGCUCCCCUAAGGGCAGGGCUAUGACCGUUGUUGCUAAGCUGUCACCAUCUCUCCUUCCCUAUUAGACUGGCUUCUGUGGGGUAAUUAACCAGUACAAGGAUGUAUGGGAAGCUCUUCUGAGAAGACCUCACAUUAAAACAAAGUGUUGUUAUUCAAGCUGGGUCAUAUUUGGGCACCUUGUUAUUACAGCUUUGAGGAGGGAUAUCAAACUGUCAUAUUCACCUAUGAGUUUAGGAUCAGUGGAGGGAAGAGAACAGAAGGGCCACACAGAAGGGGAAGCUCAGGCACAGAUGGCCAGCAGCCAGGCUCGCUGUAGAGGUGAGAUUAUCAAACAUGACCAUACAAAGGCUGCAGAGGCAAGAUGCUUCCAAUAGCCAGGAAGAAUGUGGGCAGGGGAGAAUUUGGUCCAUUUGAAGUCAGAAUUAUACAUGAAGACACUUGUAAUCAAAUAAAUGCAGAACAUAUUUGUAAAGGGAAAUAAAGUAGGAGUUAAUUUUUUUUAACAAAUUAUGAUUGAAAUCUAAAAUACCAAGAUUAACAUUCUACAAGGGUAUUAAUACAACAAUGCCAUUUUAACUCAAAGAAUGUCUAAAUAUUUGUACAAAAUAGCUGCUUACUGAUGCUUGUGAAAAGGAAGAGAUUGCUUCCCAGCACACUGUAUCAGAGAGCCAUGAUAAUAGCCAUAGCUUAAGCAGACAAAGUAAAAUGUAAAAAUCCAAAAAAGUAUCCAUCACUACUACCACCACUCUUUAAAAAUGCAAAGCUAUUAUUUAUGGUGCAUUCCAAUUCAGUUAACUUCCUUCUUGCCUUUAAAUAGAUGCCCCUGACUUAAUUGAAGUGUUUUAAUUAAUAACAUAAAAAUAACAAAUUGGAACUAGAAAAUGAUUACAAAAUAGAAGAAAAGCCUGGGAAUGUCAAGAGGUUCUUAAGAAUAUCAGAUAAGUGAGCUCAUUCAGUGAUAGAACAAGAAAUACUAGAGGGAUAAGCUGAAAGCUACAUAGGACUGAAGUUUUUUAGACUCUACAUUUAUCAAAGUAUUGGGUCAAUUUUGUUGUGGACAUCAAAAGCUAUCUCAAGAAAAAGCUCAAAUUAUUACACUGCACUGGAAUUUUAGUUUAUCCAUUAAGAUUUGUAGGGAGCAAAACAGCAGCUUCCUUGUUAUAAUGCUGUUUGUCCUAAUGAGGGGAGCUUAAGGGAGGCAGAGAGAGAAGCACAUACUGUCUUAUUUCAAUAUGAAACCCAAACAGCAAGCAACUGUCUCUUCUACAGAAGUGCAACCUCAAAGAGUUCUGAGAGUUUUUGCCGUAUCACAGCUGGGACCUUGUUGUAGUCCAAAUUAGUGUGUGUUCCUCAAUAUCCUAAGGGAGGUUCAGAUAUCCUUUCAAUCAUUCUCCUGGAAUUCUGGCUUCUGAGAAUUUGAUAUGAAAUGGAAAUUGACUAACACGAAGAAAAGACAGAAACUUGGCCUAAGGCCAACCAUUUUCUUUCCUUAGUACAGGGUAACCAUAUAACUUAUUUUCAAACUUGGACAGACUCCGAAGGGGGCUCUUUUAAGAACUGUGCCAGGACAAUGGGAGUCGGUAGCAACUGUCCCAGGUAAAUGGAACAUAUACUCCAUUUAGUCAUAGAGAAUCUAUGUCUAAUAUAUUGUUUCUUUAGUUUUUGUAUAUCUUAGUAGCUAAAUAUAACUAAAUGUAGCUAGUCUUUAUAAAGUGUAAGCUUUUUAUUCUUUAAUACUGUGUGGCUUUGUGAGACUAUUUGGUGUCACAUAGGCCCUGUACCUCUGAGUUUACUGAGAAUAAAAACUUAUGAUUCAAAAAGUUAAGCAAUCAUUAACUAAGUAACUCCAAAGAGCCCUAAGAGAUCACACAAAUAUGGAUUUCUACUCUAUAAGUUUAAUUAGUCAUAGUACAGAGUGACUUAUGAGAAGCCUCAUGCCUCACGAAUGAUGAACGUUGAAUCUGUUCAUAAAUAAUAGAUUAAACUUUAAAUCAAUAACCAUUAGAGAAAACAGAAAUAUAUUAUGGUGAGUUUCAUUCAUAUAUAUAUCUGCCCCUUUCUAUAUAUUUUAAUUAAACCAAUUUAAGUCAUAAAUUCUUCAAUUAUAAUUCAGCCAUAGGUCCUUUCCUCAAAAACGAAAGAUAGUCAUCUGGCAUUAAAAGAGGAAGAAGGAAGUGAUCACUAACAGCUGGAAUCAAUGAUCAUAUAUAAAUAUAAACCAUGGUUCUCGGGGCCACUGUUUGUUUUUGUUUCGUGUUUUUUUGUCAAUAUUGAAAUUGUCCUGCAAAGUCAAAGUCAUCUUUCUAAAUCUAGUUGCUAAUACUAUGGCAUUCUCUUUUUUGCUAUUCUUAGUAUUGUAAGAAUGUGAACUCAGAACCUAUUAAUAGAAAGUCUUCCCUUUGGAAAAUGGAGCUUAGACCCAGAAAGGAGGGUGCUGCAUACCAGCUCUCUGCUCUCCUCCUCUGAACAGUCUCUCCCCUAGGUUUCCCCUCCUCCUCCUCCUCCUCCUCUCCCUGCAGGUUGGUCCCUCCAUCUCGUCACCAUUCUGACCUCUUUAAAUUUCUUUGUAUAGAAUUUUUUAAAUAAAAUUUCUUUUUAUAGCUAGAGUCCUAUUUUUUUCCUCUUUGUUUUGGGCCUAAUCUAUCAAGUAUUAACAUAUACAGUUUUUCUAAUGUGGGAGGAACAAGAUUGCUCAUUCAUUCAACACAUUUUGAUUGAGAGCCCACCAUGUUCCAGAUGCAAGGAUCAGCAGUGAAUAAAAAGACAUAAAAAUCCCUGCCCUCAUGAAUCUUAGAGGACAAAAGAAAGCCACUCUCAGGUUCAUCAGAAGAGUGUAAUAUAUAUAUAACAACCCUUCCUAGUACUAAGAUUAACUACCUUUAUCUUCUGGUAUUCAUUUCAUAAUAUAUGCGGUAUUUAUGUUACAUAUGUAUGUAAAUGCAUAGAAAAGUUUGGGAAUAACAAUAAUAAAAUAGGUUCAUUUUGCAUGUGUGUGUUGUAUAUGUGUGUAAUCAUACAAUACAUUCAGUAAUUUGCUUUUGGCGUUUAAUAGAUUUUUUUUCCUUGGUUUUUCAUCAAAAUAUAUUUCCCUGUCAGCACAUAUAAAUUUAUCUCAUCAUUUUCAUGACUGCUUAGUGAAGAUGUGCCUUGUACCUAUUGUAGGACAUUCAAGGUUGCUUCCAAAAUUUCAGUGUUUUGGAUAAUGCCCCACUGUCUUGCACAUAUCUUUUGCAAAGAUGUCAGGAUUCCUGUGGGAUUGAUUCCCAGUUGCUAAGUCAAAAGAGAUGACUAUGUUACCUAUAGACAAACACUGCAUGUUACAGGAUGUACCUCAGCAUCUGGAGAAAAAUGCAACUCAGAGAAAAAGUAUUGGGUAUGAAAGAAAAACCUCUGUACUAAUCUAUAUAGGGUAUGGCUGCAUUCCUCCUUUAUCAGAAGCAGAAGUCUCUGUUGUCACUUUAACAAUGGAAAAUAAAGGUACAGAACAUAAGAAAUAAUUGUGUACAUUUAGGGGGUAGGAUUAAAAAGAUGAAGAAACUGGGGGCAGGGAAACUUUUAUUUUCACUUUUCCCUUCUAUGCCAUUUGACUUGUUUAUAACAGGUAGGUAUUCAUUUUAUUUAAAACUAAGUAAAUUUUCAUAAACUAUAUAUAAAAAAUAAUAUUUUCCCUGUGUUCUCCCAGUGAAAACCGUAAAGCUUCAUUCAUCCAAGAGAAAUGACAGGUUUGGGGUUUUUAUGAAUAAAGUUUAAUUGAAGAACUGCUUCUGAAAACUUAAGGGUGACAGGAGAAAGCUUGUCCAAGUAAUCAACUUUUCAAAGUCAAGAAUGAAAAAUAAAUUUAAAAUGCCUGUCAACCUCAAUCUUGAUUUCUUUUCAGAUCAACAGAGCAGUUUCAUGUUGAGGACAGUUAUGUAAAGAGUCAAACACAAGGAGUUAUUGGUAUAUCAAAAUUAAUUUUGUUAAGUUAAUUAAGCAGCUUUCUUCCCUGUAUCCCAUACCUCUGCUUUGUAUACAUGGCUCUUUUAAUUCCUACUUUACCUCCUAGGUUAAUUUUUUUUUCUGUCUUGGUUAAGAGGUUCA